UACGUAGGUCCCGAGCGUUGUCCGGAUUUAUUGGGCGUAAAGCGAGCGCAGGUGGUUUAUUAAGUCUGGUGUAAAAGGUAGUGGCUCAACCAUUGUAUGCAUUGGAAACUGGUAGACUUGAGUGCAGGAGAGGAGAGUGGAAUUCCAUGUGUAGCGGUGAAAUGCGUAGAUAUAUGGAGGAACACCGGUGGCGAAAGCGGCUCUCUGGCCUGUAACUGACACUGAGGCUCGAAAGCGUGGGGAGCAAAUAGG
rnacentral:rRNA from 1 species